GCCUCGGUGGCUCAGUGGUUGAGUGUCCACCUAUGAGCCAGGCGGUCAUGGUUCGAUUCCUUGUCAGGGCA
rnacentral:tRNA from 1 species